ACCUACCUUAUUUCCUUCUACCACAACUCGAAUGUUUUUCUUACUAAAUCCAGUAGGUUUGGGGCCAAGAUAAGACUUCUAAGCCAAAUAUAAAGAAAAUUUACCUAAGACCUGGGAAGCUGCUGCUCUUUGAAUUUUGGGAGGCAAACUUCAAAAUACAUAUCAAAACUAACAAUGGGACUCUCUCAGUUUAAACUUUCCACUCAAUCUAGAUCAUCCUCAUCUCUAUCAGUCCAUUUCUAGAUUCACAUUUUAAUGUGUACUUAACUUGUUUUGUUUAUUUAUUGUGCCUUUGCUAUACUGAAAACUACAUCAUACUGAGAGCAAAGGCUAUGUCUAGAUUAUUUUUGUACUGUACAUAAAGUAUUUUCACAAAUGUUUAAGUGAAAAGUGUGCAAGUGGGUGAAUAAAUGAAUUCUCAAGGAAUGUACAUGUAAGUAAAAGAAAAGUGUGAUUGAUCACAGAUCUGCCUCUAGUGUAAUAGGAGUCUUCACAAUGAUUCUUCACAAUGUCUAUGGAAUUGUCAGAAAUACGCAAGUAAAUACUACACACAUAGAAACAACACUUUCAGCUAAGUUUCAGAAAAAAAUCUCAGAAACAAGGCUUACUUACAAAGUAGUACAAACCUCUACAGGCAUGUGAAAGAACCACACUUAGACUUUGCAGCCUGCAGCUGCAACAAACUUUCUGGGUAAUAACCAUAGUAAGGAAGAAAAACAUAAAUACUUGUGGGUUAGGUCAAAGAGUAGCAUUUUGAUUCACAGAUAAGACUGGUGAAAGAAGGAAAUAGUAGACCACGUUUUUGUAGGAGGGCAACCUGGAACUGCAACAGCUCAUUUUGCAACGAAUGCAUCUUAGAAAAGCAGAACCGUUAGAGAUCUAGGUGGAGCUAGGCCCAGCACUCAGGGAUGUCCAAUAAAAAGUCACAGGGGCGUUGAGGGAUGGAAAAGAAAUGAUUUUAGCAUUAGAAACUAAGAGUCUGGGCUGAUUGAUGAUAGGACCAUGACUUGUGAGGAUUGGCAACAAAAUAGGGUAUUCUUCCUGGCUGAACUAUGUAAUGAAACAAGCUUGACCUUGCAGUCCUCUUCUUAAUUCGGAUUGCAUAGAUUUAUCCAGCUCCAAUCUGUUGUUAAUUUCGUUUUUUGAUUUGGCAUCCUUACUGAAAAGAGACUAAGCUGACAGGCCAACACACAUCUCAGUCCAUUUGGCAGUUCUUUUCUGUACUAUAAAUUAUUAAAUUGGCGUCCUGUUGCAAAUCUGUCCCUUGCGAGUAUGAGCAUUGUGAGCCAGUUUUCUAAGGUAUUAUCCUUCUCUGAAAAAUACAUAUGUACUUCAAGAUCUGCUGAACUUUGAGGCCAAAGCCUGGGAUAGAAGGAGAAAGAAAUCCUUUCCUGACAAGUGACCAGUGUCACCACAUACCACAUUCAUUUCGCAGACAAUUUCUUAAUGUUGCUAGAAGAAAAGCGUGGUUACUUACCCCACCUCUCUCUUGUAUUCAAGUAGCCUUGCCUAUCAUCAUCUCUAACAAGGAAAGGAACAGAUGAGAAGUUAGUGACCCAGAUCAGGCAAGGAAAAAAAAUUAAAUUCAGGAAAUAUGUAGGUCGUCUACAAGGAACAAAUCUGUAGACAAACAAAAAGAGCUAACUUAACAAGCAUCCCUAACUUACUAGUUGCUGAGUUCAGUUGCUGGUCUGUGUGUCAAUAUCCCAGCCAUAAUAAUCUAAAUUUAGGGCAGUUGUCACAUCAACUUGGAUGCUUCCUUUUUUCUUGGUUACUGCAUCAUAUAUAUUUCCUACACUGGGAAAAGUUUACAAUUACACUUUAAAUGUUAUUAGGUGCUCUAAAAGUAAUCUUUAAUAAGUUUACAAUUACACUUUAAAUGUUAUUAGGUGCUCUAAAAGUAAUCUUUAAUAAGUAAUAAUAACC
rnacentral:lncRNA from 1 species